rnacentral:lncRNA from 1 species
GAGGAGGGGGUUGGUCUUGGUGUCUCAGGGGUGGCAGAGGUAGAAAAAAAGUCCACGUUUAAGUGCACCUGCACAAUUGAAACCCGUGUUCAAGUUUCAAAUGUAUCUUAAGAUUUACUUAAUCGUUGUAACAACACUUUGAGGUACCUACAUCAUUCUUACGAUGGGGAAACUGAGGCAGAGACCGUAAGGGCGGGCCCAGGGGGCAUGUGAACCCAGAGUGUCUGGCUUCCAAGACUCGUAUUCACCGUGGUGCCGUUUGACAUGAUCAGGAUAAUGGAUCCCUGGUUCCUUUUGGGGGCAGCAUUGGAGAAGGGGGUUUGGCACCGUCAGUCUGACAGCAGGGCUGGCUCCUGCAGUGUGAAUGAAGCGGUCUUGUGCUCGACUGUGAAGGGGGGUUAGGACCUGCUUCCCAGGGCGGGUCCAGCUUUCUGAGGGAAAGCCUUCAGAGCCUCCAUCAGGCCGGCACCAGGUACCAGUUAAGCACUGGGCAGGGAACAGAAGUGGUCAAACGCCGCUUGCCGCGACUUGAAACUGCUGAAUAAAUGGAUAAUGUCAAGCGCUAUGGCUUAGGGCAGUAGUACCUCCGGUUCCUACGAUCGUGUCUGGGGUCCCUGAGGAGCAAGGCAAGAGUCGGCCAUUCAGGAGGUCAGAGUUCAGCUGUUCUUGCACAAGCAGGGAAGCUGAGUCACCCCAAACACGGGCAAGACUAGCGGUGGUAUCAAAUGGCUAUCAGGGGCGGGGCCUCAGGGGCCUGCCCCUGCCUCCCCGCCCUGCGUUUGGAUUCCCUCCAGCAUUCCGGGCCAGGGCGCGGGAGGCGGAGGCCGAGGAGAGGACGGGAGGAGGCUGCAUCCUGCCCUGGUGCGUCAGGAAGGGCCGAGCGAGCGGGAAGGAAAGCACCACCCCCCACCCCCGCCGCGGCCACACCUGGGUUCUCCAGGCGGGCAGGGGGGCCCCCGGGCCGGCGCCUGGCUCCAGCAAGUCUGGGCCGCCUCCCCGCGCCGCCCCGCGGGGGCCGCCAGAUGGGCUGCCCGCCCGCCAGCUCAGCGACGCAGGCAGGAAACGCCGGCCGGGCUGCCAGGAACGCGCGCAGGGGAGGGGGCGGGCCCGGCCGGGCCACGCCCGCCGGAGGGGAAGGAGGGGCCAAGCACCGCCCGGCGGGGACUGGUGAGCUCCAAGAGCCUGCGAUCCCGGUCCCUGCCUUUACUAGAUGGGUUUCCUUGGGUAGGUCGUUUUACUUCUCUGUGCCUCACUUUCCCUACCUGUAAAGCGGGGCUGCCUGUCUCCGCUCUUUUUCCCUUUUCUCUUUUAUUUGUGCAGCAGGGUUUCACUCUGUCGCCCAGGCUGAAGUGCAGUGGCGCGAUCACGGCCCACUGCAACCUCGACCUCCUGGGCUCAAGCGAUCCUCCCACCUCAGGUGGGAAUAUAGGUGUGUCCCACCACGCCUGGCUUUUUUUUUUUUCCCCUAGUUGAAACGGCGGUUCUCACUCUUGCUCAGGCUGGUCUCGAACUCAGGCUCAAGCAAUCUUCCCACCUCGGCCUCCCAAAGUGCUGGGAUUAGAGGCGUGAGCCACCGCGCCGUGCCUCAGCUAUUUUCGUGUGACCGUGUGAUCUCAGGACACUUUCUUUCCCUUCUCUUCCUUGGUUUUCUUACCUGAAAAAUGGGGUGAACAAUUGAACCUCCCUCAACCAUGGGCUAAGCCUUUGUUUUCCUCUCCACCGUAGCCCCAACACUUGGCCCAUUGCCUGAAACAUGAAGGCACUCAGUAUUUGUUGUAAGAGUGACUAUAAAGGUUUGGGACAAUCCUGAGGGCCUGGCUACAGCAGGCACUUCAUAAAUGGACACAAAUUAUCAAAUUACCUAGAGUCUAAUGUUUACCAACCUGCGGCUUCAGGCAAGUGACUUCCCAUCUCUGAGCUUCACUUUCCUCGUCUACAUAAUGGCUGUGAGGAUUAAGUAAAAUAAAUAAAUACAUGGAAAUCACACAUAGUGUGUUCUCAAUAGAUAUUUAUGGAAGAGUCUCCAAAAUAUUAAAAAAAGGGAGAUACUAUUUUGAGUAAAUUUGAGGGCAAGGAAUAUACAAAGGAGUUAGGUGGCUUGGAAGAAGAUUUUUGCUAUAUAUGUAAACUAAGCUGUGUGUGGGUGGGUAUUUUGCUUGUUGGUUUUUGAGACAGGCUCUCACUGUAGUCCAGGCUGGAGUGCAGUGUGGCAGUCAUAGCUCACUGUAACCUUGAACUCCUGCACUCAAGCCAUCCUCCCACUUCAGCCUCCUG